CGGACGGGUGAGUAAUGCUUGGGAAUCUGGCUUAUGGAGGGGGAUAACUACGGGAAACUGUAGCUAAUACCGCGUAAUAUCUUCGGAUUAAAGGGUGGGACUUUCGGGCCACCUGCCAUAAGAUGAGCCCAAGUGGGAUUAGGUAGUUGGUGGGGUAAAGGCCUACCAAGCCGACGAUCUCUAGCUGGUCUGAGAGGAUGACCAGCCACACUGGAACUGAGACACGGUCCAGACUCCUACGGGAGGCAGCAGUGGGGAAUAUUGCACAAUGGGGGGAACCCUGAUGCAGCCAUGCCGCGUGAAUGAAGAAGGCCUUCGGGUUGUAAAGUUCUUUCGGUGAUGAGGAAGGUGUUUGUUUUAAUAGAACAAGCAAUUGACGUUAGUCACAGAAGAAGCACCGGCUAACUCCGUGCCAGCAGCCGCGGUAAUACGGAGGGUGCGAGCGUUAAUCGGAAUGACUGGGCGUAAAGGGCACGCAGGCGGUGACUUAAGUGAGAUGUGAAAGCCCCGGGCUUAACCUGGGAAUUGCAUUUCAUACUGGGUCGCUAGAGUAUUUUAGGGAGGAGUAGAAUUCCACGUGUAGCGGUGAAAUGCGUAGAGAUGUGGAGGAAUACCGAAGGCGAAGGCAGCCCCUUGGGAAUAUACUGACGCUCAUGUGCGAAAGCGUGGGGAGCAAACAGGAUUAGAUACCCUGGUAGUCCACGCU
rnacentral:rRNA from 1 species